CUGCGUUUGCUGCAAGGGUGUAGUCCUCUGCUGAUAGCGCAUGUGCCCUGCCCUGCAGUAGACAUGGUAUCCAUAGCAAACAAGGGAGAUAAUGUGCAUGCAUUUAGCAGCUUAUAUUCAGUCAGCGCUGGAGAGGCAUAAGUGUAGUUAGUGUACCAGACCACUGGAAGCAACUGGGCCAAGAACAGCCAGCAACCACACUUGGGGAAGCUACUCAAGAGUGAAACAUGCAAAAGUGGUGAGGUGUGGACACUAACAAAAUAAACAACUGUUACAGAAGGACAGGUCAACUUUGGUGUGCUGGGAAGGCGAGGUCCCAAUGCAGCUGAUAUACGCCACCUCCUGGACGAAAUACAGCAAUGAAAAGCAACAGAACUCAGGCUCUGCUCUACAAAGAAAGAUGUCAUGCUGUGGAAUAACCUACAGACUGCAGCGAGUAACAAACUGAUUUUAAUCUUACUUACAAUUUACUCUUCUUGUAAGCAAGACACCAAGUAUUUCUUUCCCAGCUCACACAUAACUUCUUUUACACUAUAUAUAGUUACAUUACAGAGUGAUUACAACCUGAAUCACUUUGUUCAUGAAAGAUAAGCAUCCUUCAUCAUUGACAUUAGUUACUACUAGGUGGAACAUCUUGAUCAUUAAAAAAAAAGUAAAACACAGUGGUAUUGAAAUUUGUAGGUAAAAAAAAAUUCUGGAUUUUUUUCCACUUCAAAAAAAUGAAAAAUAGCUUACCUGAGUC